UGGCAUCCUAUUUUGUAAAACCUACCAUUAGGCAUAAUUGGUCACUUCAGUUUGUUAAUGUUAUAUCCCCGAAGUGUGAUUACGUAACUAGCGUGGGGACUUUAUUUACAUAGCUAAUGGCGCAGUUGCUAUUUAUUUUCAUGUGUAAUGUUGGUGUGUUUCAAGACUUUGGGAGACAACGGUACUGCAUGUCACGAAGGGACAGAUUCACCUCCAGCCAGUGAUGCUGGGCUUAUAGACCCAGAGCAAGAGGUCGUCUCUCCACUGGUUCCUCAACCAACAUCUGUGCUUCACUGCGGCUCACAGUGUAACCUCAGACCUUUCCAUCGUUCAUCAGCUGUCCAGGUGCAGCCCAGGAUGGUCAGUGUGUGGUGUCAGACAGAAUCUCCACUGCCCAGUCCCGCACACAGUGAUGAUGAGUCAUCCUCUGUUUCCAUGGACCACCCUGGGGAUAUGGAGCCCAGAGGAGGAAAUGAUGAGCGAGUCGUCUGACGAGGAACCAUCAAAAGAGCCACUGCAGCAAACUAAUUUUGAUCUCAAUGCUGCUGACAAGUUCAUUGUGUGCCAAAGCCAGCUGAUGUCCUUGUUCACCAUUUGCCCUGCCUGUUGUGGGGAAACCCAGGGUUAUGUGGAGCAGCAAGAGGGAACGUAUAUCAAGAUAA